GAUGAACGCUGGCGGCGUGCCUAAUACAUGCAAGUCGAGCGAACAGACAAGGAGCUUGCUCCUUUGACGUUAGCGGCGGACGGGUGAGUAACACGUGGGUAACCUACCUAUAAGACUGGGAUAACUUCGGGAAACCGGAGCUAAUACCGGAUAAUAUUUCGAACCGCAUGGUUCGAUAGUGAAAGAUGGUUUUGCUAUCACGUAUAGAUGGACCCGCGCCGUAUUAGCUAGUUGGUAAGGUAACGGCUUACCAAGGCGACGAUACGUAGCCGACCUGAGAGGGUGAUCGGCCACACUGGAACUGAGACACGGUCCAGACUCCUACGGGAGGCAGCAGUAGGGAAUCUUCCGCAAUGGGUGAAAGCCUGACGGAGCAACGCCGCGUGAGUGAUGAAGGUCUUCGGAUCGUAAAACUCUGUUAUUAGGGAAGAACAUACGUGUAAGUAACUAUGCACGUCUUGACGGUACCUAAUCAGAAAGCCACGGCUAACUACGUGCCAGCAGCCGCCGUAAUAC
rnacentral:rRNA from 1 species